rnacentral:tRNA from 1 species
GCCAAUAUAGCUCAGUCGGUAGAGCAACGGUUUCGUAAACCGUAGGUCGGGGGUUCGAGUCCCCCUGUUGGCUCCA